CUUACGGGUGGCUGCAGUGGGGAAUAUUGGACAAUGGGCGAAAGCCUGAUCCAGCCAUGCCGCGUGUGUGAAGAAGGCCUUCGGGUUGUAAAGCACUUUCAGUGGGGAAGAAAGCCUUGGGGCUAAUACCCUCGAGGAAGGACAUCACCCACAGAAGAAGCACCGGCUAACUCCGUGCCAGCAGCCGCGGUAAUACGGAGGGUGCGAGCGUUAAUCGGAAUUACUGGGCGUAAAGCGCGCGUAGGCGGUCUGAUAAGCCGGUUGUGAAAGCCCCGGGCUCAACCUGGGAACGGCAUCCGGAACUGUCAGGCUAGAGUGCAGGAGAGGAAGGUAGAAUUCCCGGUGUAGCGGUGAAAUGCGUAGAGAUCGGGAGGAAUACCAGUGGCGAAGGCGGCCUUCUGGACUGACACUGACGCUGAGGUGCGAAAGCGUGGGUAGCAAACAGGAUUAGAUACCCUGGUAGUC
rnacentral:rRNA from 1 species